rnacentral:rRNA from 1 species
UACGGAGGAUGCAAGCGUUAUCCGGAAUGAUUGGGCGUAAAGCGUCCGCAGGUGGCUAUGUAAGUCUGCUGUUAAAGAGUGAGGCUCAACCUCAUAAGAGCAGUGGAAACUACAUGGCUAGAGUGCGUUCGGGGCAGAGGGAAUUCCUGGUGUAGCGGUGAAAUGCGUAGAGAUCAGGAAGAACACCGGUGGCGAAAGCGCUCUGCUAGGCCGCAACCGACACUCAUGGACGAAAGCUAGGGGAGCGAAUGGG